rnacentral:siRNA from 1 species
AGAGAAAACACACAGCGCAAUAAA